rnacentral:rRNA from 1 species
AUACGUAGGUGGCAAGCGUUGUCCGGAUUUACUGGGCGUAAAGGGAGCGUAGGCGGACUUUUAAGUGAGAUGUGAAAUACCCGGGCUCAACCUGGGUGCUGCAUUUCAAACUGGAAGUCUAGAGUGCAGGAGAGGAGAGUGGAAUUCCUAGUGUAGCGGUGAAAUGCGUAGAGAUUAGGAAGAACACCAGUGGCGAAGGCGACUCUCUGGUCUGUAACUGACGCUGAGGCGCGAAAGUGCGGGGAGC